GCGGGGAUGGUCCAACGGCAGGACAGAGGUCUCUGAAACCUCCAGGUCCAGGUUCGAAUCCUGGUCCCCGUA
rnacentral:tRNA from 1 species